rnacentral:sRNA from 1 species
ACUUGUUGCGGACAAAUGAAAUGGAUGUGGGUGUCAAUGCCGCCGGCAGUGACGAUGCACCCUUCCCCCGCCACCACUUCAGUGGAAGCGCCGACAAUCAUGUCCGGGCGCACCCCGUCCAUGGUGUCCGGGUUUCCCGCCUUUCCCACUCCGACGAUCCGCCCGUUUUUGAUCCCGAUGUCCCCUUUGACGAUGCCCCAGUGGUCGAUGACCAGGGCGCCUGUGAUCACGAGAUCGAGGACGCCGUCCCGGCGGAGCGCCCUGGCCGACUGUCCCAU